CCCAUACCCCGAAAAURUUGGAUCGUACCCUUCCCGUACUA
rnacentral:tRNA from 1 species